ACGGAAGGCAGCAGUGGGGAAUAUUGCACAAUGGGGGAAACCCUGAUGCAGCGACGCCGCGUGAGUGAAGAAGUAUUUCGGUAUGUAAAGCUCUAUCAGCAGGAAAGAAAAUGACGGUACCUGACUAAGAAGCCCCGGCUAACUACGUGCCAGCAGCCGCGGUAAUACGUAGGGGGCAAGCGUUAUCCGGAUUUACUGGGUGUAAAGGGAGCGUAGACGGCUUUGCAAGUCUGAAGUGAAAGCCCGGGGCUCAACCCCGGAACUGCUUUGGAAACUGUAGAGCUAGAGUGCAGGAGAGGUAAGUGGAAUUCCUAGUGUAGCGGUGAAAUGCGUAGAUAUUAGGAGGAACACCAGUGGCGAAGGCGGCUUACUGGACUGUAACUGACGUUGAGGCUCGAAGGCGUGGGGAGCAAACAUGAUUAGAUACCCUGGUA
rnacentral:rRNA from 1 species